CCUACGGGGGGCUGCAGUGAGGAAUAUUGGUCAAUGGUCGCGAGCCUGAACCAGCCAAGUAGCGUGAAGGAUGACUGCCCUACGGGUUGUAAACUUCUUUUAUAAAGGAAUAAAGUGAGGCACGUGUGCCUUUUUGUAUGUACUUUAUGAAUAAGGAUCGGCUAAAUCCGUGCCAGCAGCCGCGGUAAUACGGAGGAUCCGAGCGUUAUCCGGAUUUCUUGGGUUUAAAGGGAGCGUAGAUGGGGUGUUAAGUCAGUUGUGAAAGUUUGCGGCUCAACCGUCAAAUUGCAAGGGAUACUGGCAGUCUUGAGUACAGUUGAGGUAGGCGGAAUUCGUGGUGUAGCGGUGAAAUGCUUAGAUAUCACGAAGAACUCCGAUUGCGAAGGCAGCUUACUAAACUGCCACUGACAUUGAUGCUCGAAAGUGUGGGUAUCAAACAGGAUUAGAUACCCUAGUAGUC
rnacentral:rRNA from 1 species